CCUACGGGAGACAGCAGUAGGGAAUAUUGCUCAAUGGGGGAAACCCUGAAGCAGCAACGCCGCGUGGAGGAUGAAGGUUUUCGGAUUGUAAACUCCUUUUGUUAGAGAAGAUAAUGACGGUAUCUAACGAUUCAGCACCGGCUAACUCCGUGCCAGCAGCCGCGGUCAUACGGAGGGUGCAAGCGUUACUCGGAAUCACUGGGCGUAAAGAGCGCGUAGGCGGGAUAGCAAGUCAGAUGUGAAAUCCUAUGGCUUAACCAUAGAACUGCAUUUGAAACUGUUAUUCUAGAGUAUGGGAGAGGUAGGUGGAAUUCUUGGUGUAGGGGUAAAAUCCGUAGAGAUCAAGAGGAAUACUCAUUGCGAAGGCGACCUGCUAGAACAUAACUGACGCUGAUGCGCGAAAGCGUGGGGAGCAAACAGGAUUAGAUACCCCUGUAGUC
rnacentral:rRNA from 1 species